rnacentral:lncRNA from 1 species
GUGGUAGGGACGAAUCUGUAGAGUCCAUGGACUAGGAGAGAGAUGCAAAGAGAGCUCUCAAUAGAUGCUAUGGAGGAGUACUCAAAGACUAACCGUGGGAGUGUGGGGCCAGGGCUCAGAAAAGGCUUCCUGGGGUAUUGAUAACUGCAUCUUGAGGACGGCAAGCAGGGUGGCUGCCCAGGCAAAGGCCCAGAGCAUUAAGAUAACAGGGAACCUUUUAUAGGCAGGUACGAGUCAGGCAGCUCCUCAGGAUGCUGGGCUGGAGCGGCGAGAGCUGGGGCUUGGUUCAGUCAAUGGAGGACCAGCCCUGUAAGAUUUGGAAGUGCAACACAGAAGCUCCAGGAAGGAUCCCUAGCUUCAGGGGAAUUUUGAUUCUCUCAGAGAGAAUAUUGUUCUUUCAUAAUAUCAUCUGCUUUGGAAAGAGUAUUCAAUUCCACAAUGCCAACAAUGAUCGCAUAGUACCUCUGUGGAGGGCAAGACCAACAUGAGCAGCAGAAGCCCUGGAGGGCUUCCUGGAGGAGGUGACUUUAGCGACACCUUCAAAACCAUGACAACGUGCACCUGGGUCUUUCUGAGGAGGACAGUGAACACUAGGAGAGGAGGGAAGUGAAAGGAGAAGCCGGGCAUGGGUGGGACUAGGCCAGAGCCCAGUGUGGUGACCACAGGGCCUCAGCAGUGCUAGGUAGACAGUGGGGUGUCACACUGCAGAGCCCCCAGAAGCCAAACAGAGGAGGCUAACUUUGAACAGAGCGGAGAGUCACCAUGGUGGUCAUCUUGAACAGGAGGGUGUUUCUAAAAAAGGGAGGUUUGGGGGAUUGCCCUGACAGAAAAUUGGAGAUGGGGGAGGUUCUUUUAAUAUGGUGAGGACAAGGAGUGGCUGGAACUGAAGCAUGUCUAGGACAAGGGCUGUUUUGUCUCUUGCACAAAUCCUGUGUUUAGUACCUGCAGUCUGCUCGUUAAUAAAGUGUAUGCUUAAGUUAAUGACAUUCAUUUUUAACCCUGGUCUCAGGCCAAUCAUGUUCACAGCCAAGGCCAUUUCCUAACAUUCGUAACUCCCUAAAGAAUAAAAUGAAGGAAG